rnacentral:rRNA from 1 species
GGAUUAGGCAUGCAAGUCGAGCGAUCCCGCAAGGGAUAGCGGCAAAAGGGUGAGUAACACGUGGGUAACCUACCCCCGAGUCUGGGAUAACACCGCGAAAGCGAUGCUAAUACCGGAUAGGACCACGACCUCGCGAGAGGAUGUGGGAAAAGGUUGGGAUCUUACCGAAAGGUGGACCUAUCGUUUGGGGAUGAGCCCGCGGCCUAUCAGCUUGUUGGUGGGGUAACGGCCUACCAAGGCGAAGACGGGUAGCUGGCCUGAGAGGGUGGUCAGCCGCACUGGGACUGAGACACUGCCCAGACUCCUACGGGAGGCUGCAGUCGAGAAUCUUUCGCAAUGCCCGAAAGG